AAAAAAAAAAAAAAAAAAUUAAACGUAACAAUAUUUUCCUUUUAUGGAUGGAUAGCAGAUGUUUUAAAUUGUUCAAGUCUAGCAUUUGAUUGCAUAAAAACAUAAAAAAGGAAGAGAACAACAUAAUUCAAAGUUCUUGAAGAUAUUAUCACCUUUGCAUUUGUUGAACCACUAAUAAACCACAAAAGUUCUUCAACAACUCCUCUCCAAAACACUCUCUGUGUAUUCAGAAAAUGAUAGCCGUGACUAGCAUUUUAGAUAUUGCAGAUGAAAAAUAUUACAUAACUGCAUAAUAAACUAUGACGAGUAUUUGACAAUUGAAGACUAUCAAUAUUUUCCAAAAAACUAGUUAUUAUAAAACAAAUGGGAUAAACUUUAGAAGAGAACAGAUACCUUGGUUGUAAGGAGUGGAAAAGAUCUGCGCAGAUUGUAACGCAUCUGUAAGUGUAGCAAGUAUCAAUAAUUAAGUGCAGGACAAAAAUGUCUUUCAAUGAGGCAGAAGAAAUAGAGACAACAAUGUGAAAAAGAAAUGAGCAGAAACAUUUAUAGAAAGUCCAAGUUUGGUAUUACCUGACACCCAAAUUUUGAUAGGGUACCAGUCCCUGUCCUGUCAUCUUUCAGGAUUCCACUUGAAAUAAUUUCUUCAACCAGUCUUAGAUACAUAUACUCAUCAUGUUUCUCAAAAAUAAGCUUUGGAAGAAAGGAAAAAUUCUUUGUCUCAAACUUGGUGGAAUUUAGAUUACCAUUAUACUUUGCUGUGGUGCUUUUAAAAGGAGUUCCAUUUUCUGAAUUCUUUACACGAACAUAAGUCACAAAAGAAUAUCGAAUAUUGUUUUCCACUAAUGGUAGAGAUGAAUACCAAAGGUGAAAUAAAGAAGAAUCAAUAGCUGGAAUGAAGGUGUCACAUUCAAUGCUUGUCUCAAUUUCAGUAAUGUGGAUGGCAUCACAUCCUGGUGCGUUAAUUGUUUCCCUCAAUAUCUGACCACCUCCUAUGACAAACACCCUCUCAAUUGAGAAAGAGUAAGGUGCUUCUGCCAGUAAUUCCAGAGCUGAUGGAAUGCUUCCACAUAUUACAACAUUUUUUGCAGCUGUGAUGUCAAAACUUCCAGAACGAGUCAGGACAACAUUCAAGCGUCCCGGUAGGGGUCUGUACCUGAGAGGAAUGCUCUCCCAUGUUUUCCUACCCAUUAUUACCGCAUUCUUUUUCCCAGGAUUUGACGUGCUCAAUGUAAGCUCCUUGAAAAAUUUAAGGUCAGAUGGUAAGCUCCAUGGUAACUUCCCAUCCUUCCCAAUGCCCAUAUCAUGAGUCGCAGCAACCACAACUUCGUAACUCCUAGGAUCACGGUGUGUAGUGGCAUUGCCACUAGGAAAGCUCCUUGGAACAUCACCAGACAUAACAGAAAAUCUUUUGCAAGUCCUGUACUUCGAAGUUAUAUAAGAUGCUCUAUGUAGUUCGGGGGCUGCGGACACAAGACGAUCAUUGCAGAAGCUAUUUUUACAAGAACCCAGUAAAACCUUUGAAAAGAGCAUACUCUUCUGAGUGCAAUGCUGUAUCAACAUCUGCAUAUCUGCUGAAGGUUAGCCAGAUCCACCCAUCUGUCUCCAACAGGUUAGAAAAAAAAAAAUUCCUCUUCAUAAAAGAAACACACAAGAAAAUAAGAAAAGGGGCAACAGAAGUAAAAGAACACUUCCAAUUUGUUCAGUAUUAGAGAGAUUUUCCACAAUCAAAGAAGAUAAUAAAAUCAUCACAUGUAAUUGGUGAGUAGCGAAUGUCUUACAAGCAAGCGUACAUCACUCUGUGAAGACUGAAGAGUCAUUUGCAUUGAAAUACAUUGUAUACCCAGUUGGGUAUUUACAAAAGAAAAUAAAAUUAUAAUUGGGAAAAAAAAUCAGUAUUUCGUUUCUACAAAACCAAGUAAAAGUUAGAAUUAAAUGAAGUCGCAUAACUCACCUCAGUUAACUCCAUAAGGAUUGCGCCUGCACCCACAAAGAAAAGGGAGAGUGGUUAUUGUUUCCAAACGCCAGAGUGAGACGAGUGCUUACGCAAUUUUCCGACGACGAAAUUGGGAAGAACCGAAGAAGCUUUCAUUGAUGGGAAGAAAGGUGCACAGAGACCAGAGGAGACAACUGAAGGGAAGUAAAACUGAGAAGAAAAUCUUUAAUUUGGUUUGAUAACCAAAAAUGGUUGGAUUUUGAUUCAAUUCUCGUUAGGGAUCUUUUCAUUUCCAAAUCAAUUCACGUUUAUAUGUGAUCUUCUUUUUUUUAAUUUAUUGUAAAAG
rnacentral:misc_RNA from 1 species